rnacentral:rRNA from 1 species
GGCCUACACAUGCAGUCGAGGGGUAUUAGGAGCUUGCUCCUAAGAGACCGGCGCACGGGUGCGUAACGCGUAUGCAAUCUACCUUGUACAGGGGAAUAGCCCAGAGAAAUUUGGAUUAAUGCCCCAUAGUAUAAUUGAAUCGCAUGGUUUAAUUAUUAAAGUUCCAACGGUACAAGAUGAGCAUGCGUCCCAUUAGUUAGUUGGUAAGGUAACGGCUUACCAAGACAAUGAUGGGUAGGGGUCCUGAGAGGGAGAUCCCCCACACUGGUACUGAGACACGGACCAGACUCCUACGGGAGGCAGCAGUGAGGAAUAUUGGUCGAUGGGCGCAAGCCUGAACCAGCCAUGCCGCGUGCAGGAAGACGGUCCUAUGGAUUGUAAACUGCUUUUAUACAGGAAGAAACAACUCUACGUGUAGAGUCUUGACGGUACUGUAGGAAUAAGGAUCGGCUAACUCCGUGCCAGCAGCCGCGGUAAUACGGAGGAUCCAAGCGUUAUCCGGAAUCAUUGGGUUUAAGGGUCCGUAGGCGGUCUUUAUAAGUCAGUGGUGAAAGCCAUCGCUCAACGAUGGAACUGCCAUUGAUACUGUAGGACUUGAAUUUUGUGAAGUAACUAGAAUAUGUAGUGUAGCGGUGAAAUGCUUAGAUAUUACAUGGAAUACCAAUUGCGAAGGCAGGUUACUAACNAACGAUUGACGCUGAUGGAC